rnacentral:rRNA from 1 species
AGAGUUGAUCAGGCUCAGGAUGAACGCUAGCUACAGGCUUAACACAUGCAAGUCGAGGGGAAACGACAUCGAAAGUCUUGCUUUUGAUGGGCGUCGACCGGCGCACGGGUGAGUAACGCGUAUCCAACCUGCCCACCACGUUGGGGAUAACCUUGACGAAAGUAAGACUAAUACCCAAUGAUAUCUCUAGAAGACAUCUGAAAAGAGAUUAAAAGAUUUAUCGGUGAUGGAUGGGGAUGCGUCUGAUUAGCUUGUUGGCGGGGUAACGGCCCACCAAGGCAACGAUCAGUAGGGGUUCUGAGAGGAAGGUCCCCCACAUUGGAACUGAGACACGGUCCAAACUCCUACGGGAGGCAGCA